rnacentral:lncRNA from 7 species
GCUUUCCCGGCUCCCAGGCCGGCGGGCUCCCGCCUCGGGGGGACGCGUACCAGCAGCGGGCCUAAGGAAACUGCGGGCGGCCUCACUGCUGCUGUCCGCCCUCUUUGGGCAGCUCUAAAAGCUUGCCAUCGAAUUCUGAGGCAGCAAUAAUACAUCAAAUGAGAGACAGCUCAUUUGUUUAAAAGAAUCUCAGCCUCAUCACCUCCUACCAUCGCUAAUUAACAACAGACACCUGGUGUCAGAGCACAGACAAUCACCACAAGGCUAUCAACUGAGCUCAUGAAAAGCACCGCAGCCCCAAAUGCCAACGUUUCUCCUCAUAAGCUGUCUGAAGCUGACAAUUAUCACACAUCAAAAAACAACCAUUAAUACAGAAACAACAUCAGACCGUGAGGUGGACAAUAUCUCUGUGGCAAACCCUUCUGGUUUCAUGUACUGAAAGUGGAACGAUGCUGCAGAUCUCCAGGACCAAGGAACCAGCCAUCAGCUCCAUCAGCUGUCUCCUCCACAAAAAUAAAAAAAAGAUAUUGAAAGUGCAGCCUGGUGAAACUGGGAGAUACUUCUGCGGGGUGAAACAAAGGCAAUGGUAACCAUCUGCAUACAAACAAGUGUUACACAGGAAAAGGAACGAGCAGCAGGACUUCCAGAAGAUAAACUGAAACCAGCAGACCACAAAACUUGAGAUGAUCUUUGAGACAGGUUACUGCAUUAAAAACAAAUAAACAAACAACUUCCUGGCUACACGAAGAUGCUGAUGUUUAAGCACUACAAGACACACAAAUGCCAGCUAUGUGCUGGAUUCUCCCUGGCCUUGAACUUCUGAGGGUAAGAAGAACUGUGUACUUCUUCCAGACCCUCAUGAAAUUAUUAUGGCUGAAGGAUGAGAACAACGUACAGUAAGAAUGCUUUUAAAGGCUGUUCCCUAUAGCCUUUAAACAGUCUAAAAACUGUACACACAAACAAUCCCUACCUUUCAAAAGCAUACCUAAGUUUGCAGAUAACUUUGUUCAUCUCAUUCUGGGGAAAGAAAAAAAAUCAUUCCUCAUCCAUACGAUGAAGUUAUCAAAAGAUGGAACCACGAACAUACCAACGAAGUCACAAGGCUCUAAUUAGCUGACCUGGCACAAAGGAUUCCUUUGAUGUAUGUCCAGAAGCAAAAGAAGCUGACUUGAGAAACUGCUGCUGGAUGACUCAGUCACCACAGAUCCCGCGCACAAAGAGCUUCAUACCAAGCAAGUACGAUCAGAUUGAUCUCCCUAGAUAUGCUGAACCAGAGGACUGAUAACCAUAGUUACUACUACAGUUAGUGUUUUUGUGGCAUCUUAGAUAACCCAAAGGACUUUCAAUAGUCUCAAGUUACACACCACUUCACUUUUCUUUUUUGUGUGGUUUUGUUGUUGUUGUUGUUUAUUUUUAAUUUUGUUGGCUUUUUUGUUGGUGGUGUUUUUUUGGUUUUGGGUUUUUUGUUUGUUUUUGUUUUUUCUUGGUCAAAUGGGAAAUCACAGUUAAAAAGAAUAAACAACAUAAUG